ensembl:lncRNA
UCUCUCUCUCUCUGUGUGUUUGUAGUCUCUCGAUGGAGGGGGGUCAUUUAGCUGGAGGGGGUCUCUCUCUCUCUCUGUGUGUUUGUAGUCUCUCGAUGGAGAGGGGUCAUUUAGCUGGAGGGGGUCUCUCUCUCUCUCUCUGUGUGUUUGUAGUCUCUCGAUGGAGAGGGGUCAUUUAGCUGGAGGGGGUCUCUCUCUCUCUCUGUGUGUUUGUAGUCUCUCGAUGGAGAGGGGUCAUUUAGCUGGAGGGGGUCUCUCUCUCUCUCUCUGUGUUUGUAGUCUCUCGAUGGAGAGGGGUCAUUUAGCUGGAGGGUCUCUCUCUCUCUCUGUGUGUUUGUAGUCUCUCGAUGGAGAGGGGUCAUUUAGCUGGAGGGGCUCUCUCUCUCUCUCUGUGUGUUUGUAGUCUCUCGAUGGAGAGGGGUCAUUUAGCUGGAGGGGGUCUCUCUCUCUCUCUGUGUGUUUGUAGUCUCUCGAUGGAGAGGGGUCAUUUAGCUGGAGGGGGUCUCUCUCUCUCUCUGUGUGUUUGUAGUCUCUCGAUGGAGAGGGGUCAUUUAGCUGGAGGGGGUCUCUCUC